rnacentral:rRNA from 1 species
UACGUAGGGGGCAAGCGUUGUCCGGAAUCACUGGGCGUAAAGCGUGCGUAGGCGGUUUUACAAGUCUGGGGUGAAAGUCCAAGGCUCAACCUUGGGAAUGCCUUGGAAACUGUAGAACUUGAGUACUGGAGAGGCAAGGGGAAUUCCACGUGUAGCGGUGAAAUGCGUAGAUAUGUGGAGGAAUACCAGUGGCGAAGGCGCCUUGCUGGACAGUGACUGACGCUGAGGCACGAAAGCGUGGGGAGCAAACAGGAUUAGAUACCCUGGUAGUCCACGCCGUAAACGAUGAGUGCUAGGUGUUGGGGGUUACCGCCCUCAGUGCCGAAGGAAACCCAAUAAGCACUCCGCCUGGGGAGUACGGUCGCAAGACUGAAACUCAAAGGAAUUGACGGGGGCCCGCACAAGCAGUGGAGCAUGUGGUUUAAUUCGAAGCAACGCGAAGAACCUUACCAGGGCUUGACAUCCCCCUGACCGGUGUAGAGAUACACCUUCCCUUCGGGGCAGGGGAGACAGGUGGUGCAUGGUUGUCGUCAGCUCGUGCCGUGAGAUGUUGGGUUAAGUCCCGCAACGAGCGCAACCCUUGAUCUGUGUUACCAGCACGUCAUGGUGGGGACUCACAGGUGACUGCCGGCGUAAGUCGGAGGAAGGUGGGGAUGACGUCAAAUCAUCAUGCCCUUUAUGUCCUGGGCUACACACGUGCUACAAUGGGCGGUACAACGGGAAGCAAGACCGCGAGGUGGAGCAAAUCCCUGAAAACCGUUCGUAGUUCGGAUUGCAGGCUGCAACUCGCCUGCAUGAAGCCGGAAUUGCUAGUAAUCGCGGAUCAGCAUGCCGCGGUGAAUCCGUUCCCGGGCCU